CGCCUGUCAGUGAGCGGGAGCUGCCGAAGAGGCCUGAGGGGCCGCGCCGGGCUGUGCCGGGCGGGCUGAGCGGAAUCGCGCCGGGCUGGACCGGGCUGAGCCGAACCGAACCGUGCCGGAGCGUGUCUCCCUGAAGCUGGGAAAUGGCCGUGAUGGGAAUUGCAUGCCAGGGAUCUCCUGAUCCAACAGUCAAACACAAAAAGGAGCUCACAGCUGCUGAGGGGCUGAAGGAGACAGUGAGUGAAAAGCAAAGCAGUGUUUGCAAAGUAGAAGAUUCAAAGAAGGCCAUCUUUGACAGUCAGUGGAAAAUCCUGAAUGAUGUAAUCACCAGAGGAACAGCAAAAGAAGAAACAGAAGGAGGCUGUGCAUCAAUUUCUAUUAUUGCCCAAGCAGAAUGUGAAAACAGUCAGGAGUUCAGCCCCACUUUAUCAGAGAGAUCCUUUAUUGCCCACAGUAAACGUUACAGCAGCCGCUCGGACAGCCUCGAUCACAUCCCCAACAAUGUGGCCCACGCCACGGAGGGCAGGAUGGCUCCCACCUGGAGAGGGAGGCACCGGGGCAGGGCCAGGAAGAAAAGGCACAAGAAAAGAUCCAAGCUGAAAGGACAACCUGUGGCUGCUGGCAGGAGGAGUCCAAGAACUCCAGAACAGGAGAGCUGCACCCCAAUUCCUGUCCAGGAGGAUGAAUCCCACCAAAGCACUCUUUACAGAAACAGUUUUUGGGUUCCUGAAUUUAACAAGGACUUGGGCUAUGAUCCACUGCCUUUUGAGAAGCCUGCCCAUGCCCCUUUGUCCAUGGGCAAACUGCAUUCCCCAAGGAGCCAGUACAAAACUGAACUGCACAAGCUGAUCAGCCCCAUUCAGUGCCUUAAUCAUGUUUGGAAACAGAGGGACACUGUUCCUCAGCCUGAGACUCUCCAUCCUUUCCCCUACAACAUCCUUCCCCCCCAUUUCCCACACGUGGACAAUCCUCUCCGUGCCAUGAAGCAGAAUGCUCUGGACAAAUACUUCCAUGGUGACCUCAACUAUCAAGACAGUCACUUAUCUGGCCUAAACUUAGAAUAUAAUUUCACCAAAUGCAUCAACCAGUCUGUGCAAACCAGUGCUGACAAACUUUCUGUGGAAGAAUAUUUGGUAGAUGCCUUGAAGGGGAGCGUGAGUUUUGGAGAACCACAAAAUUUAGCCAGCCUGGCCAAGACAUGGAGAGGAGGUGGGCUGGAGCUGAAGGAACAAUUCCAUGAAGCAAGUGAAAAUGAAGGAGUGCUGCUGAAUGAGAAGCUGAAGCCGGUGGAUUACGAGUACCGAGAAGAAGUUCACUGGACCAAGUGCCACGGUUCCCUGGGCAUUGGCUCUUUUGGGGAGGUCUACAAGAUAGAGGACAAACAGACAGGAUUCCAGUGUGCUGCCAAAAAGGUGCAGCUGGAACAUUUCCGUGCCGAGGAGCUGACGACGUGCGCGGCCGUGAGCAGCCCCAGCGUGGUGCCCCUGUACGGGGCUGUCAAGGAGGGUCCCUGGGUCACCAUCUUCAUGAAGCUCAUGGAGGGUGGCUCAUUAGGGCAGCUCAUUAAACAGAGUGGCUGCCUGCCCGAGGACAGAGCCCUCAGCUACCUGGGCCAGGUCUUAGAGGGUCUGGAGUAUCUUCAUGCUCAAAACAUUCUCCAUGGAGAUGUCAAAGCUGAGAACGUGCUGCUGUCAGCAGAUGGGAGCAGGGCCCUCCUGUGUGACUUUGGCCACUCUGCUCACCUGCACCCAGAUGGGCUGGGAAAGUGCUUGGUCACAGGGAACUACGUGCCUGGCACAGAGACCCACAUGGCCCCCGAGGUGGUGAUGGGGAAGCGCUGUGACUCCAAGGUGGACGUGUGGAGCAGCUGCUGCAUGAUGCUGCACAUGCUCAAUGGCUGCCACCCCUGGACCCAGUACUACAACCACCCUCUGUGCCUCAAGAUCGCUAAAGAGCCGCCUCCUGUGAGGGAAAUUCCACCUUCCUGCAACCCUCUCACUGCUGAGAUUAUAAAGCUGGGGCUGGAGAAGGAGCCUCUGCACAGGGCAUCUGCAUCAGAGCUCAAAACUAAAACCAGCGUGGCACUUGAGGAAGUGGGAGGUGUGAGAAGCCCCUGGAAAGGUGAAUACAGAGAGCCCAGACAUUUCUCUUUGAACAAAGAAAACAGUGCACAAACAUCCCUGUCCCCCACAGUGAGCCCAGUUUCUGAGAUUGCUUCUGACCCAAAACUGUCAGUCAAAGUUUCCUGUGGCAGCUCAGUCCUCCCACCUCCAUCUCUGGAGCAAACAGAGGAGGCUGAGGGACCCCACUGGAAUGAGGACAAGGAGUUACCUGAAACCUGUGAUCCCCCACCCCUCUCCUCAACCCCUCUGCCCCUGAAGAGCUGCAGCCACGUGGAAAGAGCCACAACCAUUUCAGAGCAAGAACUUCAGCAGCUGGAAAUUGAACUGUUUCUGAACAGCCUUUCCCAGCCUUACUCUCUGGAAGAGCAGGAGCAAAUGCUUUCCUGCCUCAGCAUUGACAGCCCCUUUGUGUCAGAUGCCAGUGAGAAGAACUCCAUGAAGGCUUCUCAGAGCUUGAGGGACACCAUGAGCUCGGGGAUCCAUUCCUGGAACAGCCAGGCCGAGGGGCAGAGCUGCAGCUGGAACAACCUGCUGAGCCGCAGCCGGCACACGGACACCCCCAGCUGCUUCAACGGAGUGAAAAUCCAGAUCCAGUUGCUAAGUGGAGAAAAUUUGCACAUCAGAGAUUUCCACAGGACAAAGGUGGGAGACAUUGCCACGGGGAUCAGCAGCCAGAUCCCCGUGCCUGCCUUCAGCCUGGUGACCAAGGAGGGGCAGCCUGUGCACUACAACAUGGAGGUGCCUGACUCUGGCAUCGAGCUGCAGUGCACCCUGGCCCCCGACUGCAGCGUGGGCUGGGCCUGGCGCGUCAAGCACGGCCAGCUGGAGAACAGGCCCUGAGGCCCUGCCUGCUCUGGAGCUUUGCACCUUGUGAAAGGAGGGAUUGCAGAAGCUUCUGACCUCCCCUGCCGUGGAGCACCAAGUGCAGUGGCUGCUGGUUGUGCUGCAGCAGGAUCACAGCUCGCUGCCCUCGCUGCUGUUGGCUGCUCUGAUCCACUUCCAAGACGUGUCCUGAGCUUAGACAUUCCCCAGGACAGUGGGAAUUCCUUGUUUUGGGUGUGUUAGAGCUUGAGAAUGGUAGGUGGAGAUUCCUCACUUUUCAGAGGAAGGAGGUUGUGCUGUUCAGGAGAGCAGGGCCACGAGAACUCUGCUCCUGCUCCAAGGUGAGGUCGGUCGUGGCUGGGCUUGCCCAGAGGAGGAGCUUGGGUGCCCUCAGUGUUGUGCCAAGGGGAGCUGGCUGACUUCCUUCCAGCUGGAGGAAAAAACAUUUCUGUAGGCUCUGGGGAGCAUCAUCUCCACCUCAAGCCUUUAGCAUGGGGAGGAUCCACAGCAGUCACUGGCUGGCUCUUGGUUUCACCUCCCACCCUUCCCCGCGGUCGCUUCAUUCUUGAAUGAGAAAAGAACUUUGUUCCCAGAAAGAGCUUUGCUUGCAGCUCCCACCUGCAGGGCUCAGAGGAGCUGCUGCUCUCUCUGGUGUCCCUGGCAGGCAGGGCAGGAGAAGGGUACAGAAUUCCAUGGAGGGGUUGUUCCUCCAUCCUGUUCCCACCUCUGAGGUGGGACUUCAGAUGUGCUGUUAAGGGACAUCAGCUCUGUCAGCUGUGACAGGGCUGAAUUUUAUUGCAGAGUUUAUAAAAAUCUCCCUCCCAGCUCCCAGUCCAGCCCAGUGCCCCAGUUCUGUGAGCUCAGUUUGGCUUCCCACUCCUCCCUCACUUCAGCCUGGGUUCACUGAGUGGGACGGGCAGCUGGGCCUGCAAUGCCUUAAGCUUUAAACUGGUUUUUUUUACUGAUUUAUGAAUGUUUGGAACACACUGAAACCUCACAGGUUAAUUCAGGUGGGUGGGUGUUGUUCACCCUUCUCCACCCCAGAACAGAUCCCAGGGGAGGUGUGAGCUCCCAGUGUGUUUGCUCAGGGCUGUGCUGUUCCAGGCCUGGCACACCUGGAAAUCACAAUCCCUCCCUCUGGCUGUGCCUCUCCCAGAGCUCUGAGGCUGCAGCUCCCAAAUCCAAGGUGGGCUCUGCCAGGUCUGUGCUGCUCUGGGAGACACCAUGGGGCAGCAAAGUGUUCCCAAGGGAAGUUCACUCAGAAAAUAGCUGGGAAAAGCAGAACUCUGAGCCUCCCUUUUUGGGGAGCAGCACUCCUUAAACAAGGGAUGCUCCUUCCCUUUGGUCUCCCAGAGCAUGGGCUGGUUUUGCUCCACCAGACAGUGACAUCCCUGAUCAGAAAACUCAAGUUUGUAAUAAGAAAGUGGAACUCAUGAAGAAAAAUGAAACCUGUCACCACUUUGGGUAUCAUUUUUAUAGCACUUUUUGUUCUAAAGCACUUAAUACGUUGUCCAAAAUAGGCACCUAAUUAUAUCUACUAUGCCACAUUCAGAGUCUUUUCAGUAAAUAAUUAACACAUUAUGCACAUGUCUUCCAGGAGGGAGUGGGGAAGGGGGGGUUGGCUCCAUUUCUUUUUUCAGAUGCCAUAAAUUACUCAAGAGUUUAAGCUCUGGAGCAGGAGGGAUCAAAGGAGGGAUCCUCUUCCAGGACUCCCAAGCACAGGUUCAGUGGAUCCCUGGAUCCUUUCCUGAGCUUGCUCCAAGGGGACAGGAGGAAAACCUGGUUGUUUUGUGAGUGUGUGGUGGUGUGUCAGUCCCAAAGCAUGGUGGGUUCCAUCCCAAAGGCUGCACCUUGUGCCUCUGUCACCUGGGGGGUGCUCCCAUGUCCUGGUGUCCAGUUCCAUGCCUGGGCAUUGGGAGUGAGCCCUGGAGCAGCAGGGAGGGAACAGCAGGACUGCCUGCAGGACUCCUGGGCUCUGCAUCUGCAGCAUUAACCUGAACUCAGCCACUGCACAGGGCAGGGAACCCUCCUGGGCCUGGGAUGUCCUCACAGGGCCCAGGCAGAUGUCUGUGAUCCCAGACCAAUGGAGAUCUCCUGGCCCAUGGACAUGUUCAUGUUCCCUGGCCCAUGGAGAUCCCCAGGCCCAUGGAGAUGUCCAUGUUCCCAGGUCCAUGGAGAUCUCCUGGUCCAUGGAGAUAUUUGUGUUCCAGGAGAUCUCCUGGCCCAUGGAGAUGUCUGUGUUUCCCUGGCCCAUGGACAUGUCCAUGUUCCCAGACCAAUGGAGAUCCCCAGGUCCAUGGAGAUAUCUGUGUUCCUAAGCCCAUGGAGAUCUCCUGGCCCAUGGAGAUCUUCUGGCCCAUGGAGAUGUUCCCAGGUCCAUGGAGAUCUCCUGGCCCAUGGAGAUGUCUGUGUUCCCCAGGCUCAUGGUGCUCUCCUGGCCCAUGGAGAUCCCCAGGCCCAUGGAGAUGUUCAUGUUCCCAGGUCCAUGGAGAUCUCCUGGCCCAUGGAGAUGUCCAUGUUCCCCAGUCCCCUCAUAGCAGCAUUAGCCAGGAUUCCCCUGUUUGUUUGUCCCAAGCCUCCAGCCCUGUUUUGCUGCCACACAAGUGCCCAGUGAGGC